GCGCGCCAUCGGCCGGCGACCGGUAAAAGACGACGGCUUCAGUGGUUAGCACUGUGUCUUACUGUGCGCGUCGGCAGCAGAGACAAGGCGGGAUAAAAACGAGGCCUCGCGUGCCCUGCCUCCCCCCUUCUCCUCCAUCUCCAUGGAGGAGGGGGAGGGCUUCCUCAGGGUCCUACGAGCGCUGCGCGACGCCGCGCGGAGGGUGGAGGCCGGCGAGGGCCGCGGGCCGGCUCUGCAGGCGCUCCUCGCGCUCGAGGCCGGCGCCGACGACCUCCUCGCCGGCGACCCCAACCUCUCCGCGCUGCGCCGGCUCCUCUACCGGCUCAGAGCCCUCUCGUGCUCCGUUGACCUGUGCGGGGCCGGGGAGGAGGGGGGAGGGGUGAUUGGCUCCUUGCGCGCGCAGUGCCGCCGGUGCGGCGCGCGGAGGGGGAUCGCGCGCGUGGCCGGCGCCGUCGCCGGCGAGAUCCAGGCGUGGAUCGACCGGGAGACCAUCGCGCGCCUCGUGGCCGAGCUUCGGCGCUCCGAAGGCGGCGGCGGGGCGGACGCCGCCCGCGCGCUCCUCGCGGAGCUCGAGGCGCGGCUGCUAUCCGUCGGCCAGUUCGACCCGCGGCUCCAGCGCGCGCUGCUGCAGCACGGCGUGUUCGCCGCCGUCGAGGCGAAGCUCGGGGACCCGGCCGUAUGCGACGGGUGCGCGGCGGCGGUGCUCGCGCUGGUGCGCUUCAACAAGGACGUGUUCGUGGGGCCGGUCCUGAUGGGCCCCGCCGUCGGCGCGCUGGUGGCGGCCGCGUCGGGCUCCCCCGCGCCGCUGCGCGCGCUCAACGGGCUCGUGGCCGCCAUCCGCAGCCCGCUCGUGGACGAGCUCCACGCGCGCGGCGAGGUCCCGCGGCUCGUCGCGCUGCUCUGCGCGCCCGACCCCCGCGUCCGCACGCUCGCGCUCGAGUUUGCGCUCCGCGUCGGCUACUACGGCCGCAAGGAGGUCGUGGACGCGCUCCUCGCCGAGGGCCUCGUCAAGCGCCUCCUCUGCCUGCAGCGCUCCGACGACCUCGGCGGCUCGCUCGCCGACGCGGACGACCCCUACUGCUCCCCGAAAGCGAAGCCCGACGCCAAAGGCGUCUCCCUCCUGGCCCGCCUCCUGGGGCGGCGCUGCGAGGACGACGGCGCCGCGGCGCUGGCAUCGGAGCGGCCGUUCGCGAGCGCGGUGGCGCGGUUCGCGGUGCAGGUGGAGGUGGGCGAGGGGCUGAGCCCGCGGGAGAAGCGCGCGGCGAAGCUGGAGAUCCUGCGGCGCGCGCGGGAGGCGGCCGUGUCGCCGGCGGAGGAGGCCACCGUGCUCGCCGAGGUGCUCUGGGGCGCCACGCCGUAGCUGAAAGCUCCUACCUUGACCGCUGACUUUCGGGGUCCACGUGCCCCGCACGCUGUGGACUCGUGUGGUUGGCGUGCGCCUUCUUCACCCUUUUUUUCCUUAGUUUUUUCGUUUUGUUUUUGUGAAUAUUAGAUCUCUUGGUGUAGUGUAGAUAGGACUUGGUCGUAGAGACGACUCCGAUCCAUGUAUGUACAUGGAUUCUGUACAGGAGAGUCAAGAGGUGACAAUUUUUUAACCUGUGGAAAAGAAAACUGGCAGAAAUGAACAGAUGAUUAGUGAUGCAAUGACAGUGAUAGACUCCAGUCCGUUUCCCUUUGGACAUUACUGGAGCAGUUAAAGUUGGUGCGAGGUAACCGAACUAAAAGCAGUGAUCUGAACAUUCUUAAGUAGCACAAACGUUGAUGUCUCAUCAGAAGAGGGGAAACAAACGUUCGAUGUAGAAUGAUCGCGAGGGAUAAGACAAGCAAUUAUUCAUGCGCAAUUCAAUUUCGGUACGC
rnacentral:lncRNA from 1 species